GUGAUGUGGAGCGAAACUCAAAAAAUAAGUCUCAGUUCGGACUGCAGCCUGCAACUCGGCUGCACGAAGCCGGAAUCGCUAGUAAUCGCAGAUCAGCAUGCUGCGGUGAAUACGUUCCCGGGUCUUGUACACACCGCCCGUCACACCAUGGGAGCCGGGAAUGCCCGAAGUCAGCGGCCCAACCGAAAGGAGGGAGCUGCCGAAGGCAGGCCUGGUGACUGGGGUGAAGUCGUAACAAGGUAUC
rnacentral:rRNA from 1 species